GUUUUAAGUGUUACUGUGGUUCAUGUUAGUUUAACAGUGUUGUUGAUUUAUUGUGUUUUUGUAGUUCAGUUGGUUUAGUCAGUUUAGUUAAGUGUCAUGUUGCCGUUAUCAUGAGUGGGAAGUGUAGUGUAUUUGAUGGUGUCUCUUUUUAAAAAU